UGCACUUUCGAUGAAAUCUUCAUCAGCGCUUAAUGAUGAUGAUGCAUUGAGUAGAAUGCUCAGUCGGGCAUCAGUCCAAACGAACGUUAAAAACAAUAUUGUGACGAAACAUGCAACCAAUGCAUUCAGCUUAUCCAAACACUUUCAGAUCAGCAGUCACUAUGGGAAGAUUUAUAGCAUGGUAGCCAGGUCGGUUUCUGCUCGAGACCCAGACCUUGCCGCCAGGCUAACCGGUGAAGGGAGCCAUGGUAGAGUAUUGGAGCGUAGCCCCUGUUACGUAACGUAGUACCAUAGUGAAAUGUAGCUGUUUUCUGUGUUCUAUUUGACCUUUCACCCCUAUUGAUCUCUCACCUCUUUCGCUUGGUCUCUGUGUGUUUGACAUGUUCCCACUACAAUUAAUAGUCAGUUUAAAAAGGAUAACUAUUUGACUGUAUAAAUAUACAUACAUAAUAUAUAGGUAUAUGAAUAUAGAUUAAUUUAACCGAUAGAUAGAUAACCAAGAGAAAACAGAUAGUCAAACGUUACUAUAGAUAAGGUUGAUCAUGAAUCAAAUUGAUAAGUGAUCUGGCCUUUUAUCCCCAACUCACCAGUCACUCCUCUAUAGUCAUUAUACACACGGACAGCUCCAGUGUUUUUGUCAAUUAUUGGAAUCCAGUGGCUUCAUCUUAGUGUGUGUUGUAUGCAUUGUCUUGACAUCAUAUCCUUCAUAUCUUCAUCAUAACCUGAUAGAUUUAGUCUCAUACCUUUAGACUGCAUUUAUUGUAUAAUGAAUGCUUUGAGUGAAUGCAGUGGGGUUGGGCUCAAUAUGGCAGUCAAUUCAGGAAGUAAACUGAAAUUCCAAUUCGAUGAUUGAAAUAGGGGCCUGUAUUUUUAAUGACUUCUUAAUGAAUUGAAAAGGAGAAGCUAUUUAUGUUUUUUAAGUAGCUGAUUUUAAAUUCAAAUCUCUUCCUGAAUUGGCAAUUCGAAUUGAGCCCAACCCUUGAAUGCAGAAGAGUAUCUAUAUGACACAUAUCUAUCUAAAGGACAUUCUAGUAUCCAACAGUAUAUAAGUAUAACUGGCAUAGCAAUGCUGUAACUUCAAUCAGUCCACACCUCUUAAACCUCACUAACACAUACUACUCAGUGCUUAUGGAAAUAUCAAUGCUUUGAGACGGACAGAUAAACAGACAGAUAAACAGACAGGUAGACAGACAGAUAGACAGACAGAUAAACAGACAUAUAGACAGAUAAACAGACAGAUAAACAGACAGACAGACAGACAGAUAAACAGACAGAUAAACAGACAGACAGACAGAUAAACA
ensembl:lncRNA